rnacentral:rRNA from 1 species
GACGAACGCUGGCGGCGUGCUUAACACAUGCAAGUCGAACGGAAAGGCCCUGCUUGCAGGGUGCGCGUGUGGCGAACGGGGGAGUAACACGUGGGUGAUCUGCGCCUGACAUUGGGAGAAGCCUAGUAAACUGGGUCUAUUACAGGAUAUGACAAUGCUUAAGGUGGGGUGGUGGAAAGAUUAGGGUCGGUGUGGGAUGAGCUCGCGGCCGAUCCGCGUGUUGGUGGGGUAGUGGCCUAGCAGGGCGUCGAGGGGUAGCCGGCCAGCGGGGGUGGACGGCCGCCUUGGGCCUCUGCUGCAGGCCAGAGUCGUGCGUCAGGGGGCAUUGGGGAAUGUUGCACAAUGGGCCCACGCCUGAUGCAGCGACGCUGCGUGGGCGUUGACCGCCUUCGUGUUGUAAGCUCCUGUCAGCCAGGACGAAGCCCUUGUGGUGACGGUAGUGUUAGAGGAAGCACCGGCUAACUACGUG